GUUACAGAAGCAGAAUCCUCGAGGCCCCCUUCCACUCCGGUCUCUCAAGAUAAGAUGGCAACAGCAAGGGUCAAACUAAACGUACCCCAAGGAGUGAAUCUUGAAGACCCCAAAGUGAGCGAAGCCAUUUUAGAGCAGAUCCGGGAGCACCUCUCCAAGAACUUUCCAAUGGACGGUGUUAAUCUGCGCUGGAGAAGACAAGAUGGGGAGAUAUUCCACAAGGAGGAAGAGGAGGAGGAGGAGGAGAAGAAGAAGUACUUCAAGCCGUGAGAUACCAGCGCCCACAAUGACAAGCGAGGGCUUUCAGAGCGGCACUGGUUUAUAUUAAUCUGACAUUAUCUACUGGUUUAUAUUACUCUGACAUUAUCUACUGUUUAUAUUAAUCUGACAUUAUCUCUUGGUGCAGCACUGGUUUAUAUUAAAGUGA